GACGAACGCUGGCGGCGUGCUUAACACAUGCAAGUCGAACGGGAACCUUUAUUUCGGUAAAGGAGAGAGUGGCAAACGGGUGAGUAACACGUAGGCAACCUGCCGACAGGAUGGGGACAACAUUCCGAAAGGAAUGCUAAUACCGAAUGGAGUCCGAGGAUGGCAUCAUCCUCGGAUAAAAGAUGGCCUCUUAACAAUGCUAUCGCCUGUCGAUGGGCCUGCGUCUGAUUAGCCAGUUGGCGGGGUAACGGCCCACCAAAGCGACGAUCAGUAGCCGGUCUGAGAGGAUGAACGGCCACAUUGGGACUGAGACACGGCCCAGACUCCUACGGGAGGCAGCAGUGGGGAAUCUUCCACAAUGGGCGAAAGCCUGAUGGAGCAACGCCGCGUGAGUGAAGAAGGUCUUCGGAUCGUAAAGCUCUGUUGCACGGGACGAAAACUG
rnacentral:rRNA from 1 species